GCGGGCAUCCUCUAGUAAUUCAUAAAUUUAGCCAAUAACAACAAUUGCGAUUGUAAUAAUGAUUGAUGCAGGUUUUGCGGAAUCGAGCUACAGGCUUUAAUAGCAA